rnacentral:rRNA from 1 species
UACGUAGGGCGCAAGCGUUGUCCGGAAUUAUUGGGCGUAAAGAGCUCGUAGGCGGCUUGUCACGUCGGAUGUGAAAGCCCGGGGCUUAACCCCGGGUCUGCAUUCGAUACGGGCUAGCUAGAGUGUGGUAGGGGAGAUCGGAAUUCCUGGUGUAGCGGUGAAAUGCGCAGAUAUCAGGAGGAACACCGGUGGCGAAGGCGGAUCUCUGGGCCUUACCUGACGCUCAGGUGCGAAAGCUAGGGGAGCGAACAGG